CUCUCCGAGCUGGUACGCGACUAAUCAGUUCAUGCUUGAAGUGAUUCCACGAGAAGAUGAAGAGAUACAAAUGCUUGACGAGAAACUCGUCGUUGGCUUCGGCUAUUUUCGUACCUUAUUACGCUGGUCUCGAUUUCCGGCGAAAUAUACGGCGGCGUAACGUCGCUGAGAGAGACGCCGCCGGGAAUGAACUGUUUAAAUGGCUCAAAAAGCAACCCCAGUGGAAAGAACAAAAAAACGCGGAGCAUAUACUGAUCGACCUGGUCCAUUUCACUCGAUCGGCAAAGAUCGAUUUCAUACAGAUCGAUCGAUCUCGAAUUAUAGACCGAUCGAUCUCGUGCCCAGGUAAGUAUUCCAAAUCGAUUUCUUGGUUUUCUUCGGAUAUAUCCGGUUUGAUUCCCACUUAAUUUGAACCGACCAAACAUGGUUUCAACUCUUUAAACUCGAUUUCUUUGAGAUGAAACCCAUAAUUUCUCGUCUCCUUUACGAACAAAAGGGGAGAAAAUCAAAGUCUCAAGUUCAUAAACCCUAACUCACUCAAUUUCACACUGAUUUGGUAGAAACAAUGUGAAAUUUUUGUGAAAAUUUUGUGAACAAUCAAUAGAAUAUAAAAGACAGCGUCAGAAGAAGGUUACCACGUUUUUGUUUUUGUUUUUUUUAAAUCGAUUUUUUCAAAAUAUAAAAGUGAAUAUUCCAAAUAUUUUGUUUCCAUAUUUUUAGGAACUGAUUUCUUAUCCGUAGAAUACAUCUUAUCUGUAGAAAUCGGUUUCUACAGGUUUUUAGAAUUAUAAUAAUGUGUAGAUUUUGAUUUAAACAUGUUUUAGAUUUAAAGUAAAUCUAUAGAAGUCAGUUUCUACGUAUUUUAGAUUUAUAUUAAUGUGUAGAUUUUGAUUUCUAAAGAUUUUAGAUCGGUAGGUUAAGCACGGAAUGUGUAUUCUAAAUAUUUUUAGAAUACUCUUAUUUACGUAGAUCACAUAUUCUAAACACUGUAGAUUCAAUGAAAAAAAUGGAUUUCGCUUUCUACUUCGUAGAAUGCCAUUUCUACUUUAUUUAGAACAUAAUCUGAAAAUUAUGAUUUAAACAUUUUUAGAACUGAAAAAAAUACCACUAAGUUCAUAUAAGUAUUUUAUCAAUAGUUGCUAUUUUUCCAAUUUUUUUUGUUUGUAAAACUAUUUAUUAAAUUUAUUUUCAAAAAUAUUAAACGGUAUUAUAGGCAAAAAUGACACAAAAUAGAUAUUAGUCUAAAAGGACAUAAUUAUCAUUUUUUUGCUCUAAAAAAAAUAUUUCUUUUGACAUAGCUACAUCAUUAACUAUUUUAUUGAAAAUCCAGCUGUGUUAGGUCAAGAUCGUUUCCUUGUAACCGGUAGAAUUUCACGAGAUUUCCGGCGAACAAUUUGAAUGUAAGAAGACAGCAUUUAAAACGAGAGAAUGACUUUUUGAAUGACUUGUCAUGCCUUUCGGUUUGUCCAAUGCACCAAGUACCUUCAUGCGCGUUAUGAAUCAAUCUCUUCGUCCUUUCAUCGGCAAGUUCGUGGUUGUCUAUUUUGAUGAUAUUCUGAUAUUUAGCAUGUCACCAACGGAGCAUCUCGCUCACCUGCACGAAGUGCUUCUUGUUCUCCGUCGUGAUCAGCUAUUUGCUACGCUCAAAAUGUGUGAGUUCGGCUCUUCUAGCGUCCACUUCCUUGGGUAUAUCGUCUCUGCAGAAGGACUAGCCGUUGAUCCGGGAAAAGUAGAGGCAAUCAAGUCAUGGCCUACUCCGAGUACAUUGUCCGCAACUAGAAGUUUUCAUGGUCUAGCGUCUUUUUAUCAAAGAUUUGUGCCGCAGUUUACCAGUUUAAUGGCGCCUCUUACGGAUUGUAUUUGUCGGGAUGGUGUGUUUACAUGGACGUCUGAAGCGGCUACAGCUUUUGAGGUCAUUAAAACAAAGUUGAUUUCGGCGCCUGAUGUCUCGAGUUUUAACCCGAUUAUCUAACUGCAAGUGCACAGUAAAGUACGC